GUGCUCACUUUGGCAGCACAUAUACUAAAAUUGGAACGAUACAGAGAUUAGCAUGGCCUCUGUGCAAGGAUGACAUGCAAAUUCAUGAUGUGUUUCAUAUUUUU
ensembl:snRNA U6 U6 spliceosomal RNA